AACCUGGUUGAUCCUGCCAGUAGUGUAUGCUUCUCCUAAAGACUAAGCCAUGCAUGCCUAAGAAUAAGAGGAAGCAAUUCUCUCUGAAUCUGCGAACGGCUCCGCAAACCAGUUGUAAACUACAGCAAGCAAGCACGGGGGGUUGGCCUUCACGGGUCGGUCCCUCGGGCGAUAUGGAUAACCCUGGUAAUUCUGAGGCUAAUACAAGAACGUAACCCCUGGUUGACUGAGCCCUCGCCCUCGGGUGGGGAUACUUGGGAGGCUGGGAAGCGUGCGAGUACUAAUGCGAAUGAGAACCGGGAAUGGGCGCACGCUUGGACCGCGCUACAAAGGAUCAUUACUCGGCAAUCCCUCCGGGGUGCGCUUUGUUUUGGCCCCAGCGGCUCUUGCGGUGUGCUUCUGACCUAUCAACUAGACGGCAGCGUAACGGACAUGCUAUGGUUACAACGGGUACAGAGGAUUAGGGUUCGAUCCUGGAGAGUGGGCCUGAGAGAUUGCUCAUACUUCUAAGGAAGGCAGCAGGCGCGCAACGUUCCCCUUGGGCAAUGCUCGAGGGCGUUAGGGGACAUAUGGGUGUCUGCCCAAUGGGUGGACAAUUCAAAUGGGUUUGUUCUAAACAGCCUUUCGAGUAACAAUUAGAGGACAAGUCUGGUGCCAGCACCCGCGGUAAUUCCAGCUCUAAUAGCAUACGUUAAAGUUGUUGCGGUUAAAACGCUCGUAGUCGGCCACAGACCAUCAGAUGCUCGAGCCGGGAGCUUGGGUCCGCUGCCUUUCGGGGCGCGCCGAGUUACUAGCAAGGGCGGGCGGUGGUCAAGUGUGCCCCAGGCUGUUCAUCCUUCGGGGUGGUCACAGGGCUGUGCCAUUCCCCUUCACGGGGGGGUGGUGCAGUUCGGCUUGGGGUGCCACUUACUAUGACCAAACUGGCGUGAUCAAAGCAGGUCGCUCGAUCUUGCACAGCACAGCAUAGUAUAAGCAGAGCCGGUCUGGUCUCCUCGCAUUGGGACUGGGCUGGCAGAAGCGACAGAGGUGUUCGAGGGUGACCGAAUUGCCGGGCGAGUGGUGAAAUACGUUGACCCUGGCAAGUCGACCAAAGGCGAAAGCAGUCAUCAAGGGCACGCUCGUUGAUCAAGAGCGAAAGUUAAGGGUUCGAAGACGAUCAGAUACCGUCGUAGUCUUAACUAUAAAUGAUACUGACCAGGGAUGGGAUAAUGUCCAUCUCGACUCUUCCUGGACCUUGGAGAAAUCAGAGUCUUUGAGUUCUGGGGGGAGUAUGGUCGCAAGGCUGAAACUUAAAGGAAUUGACGGAAGGGCACACAAAGAGUGGAACCUGCGGCUUAAUUUGACUCAACACGGGGAAACUCACCAGGUCCGGAUACACGUAUGAAAGACAAGCUGAAAGACUUUUCUCAAUGAUGUAAGUGGUGGUGCAUGGUCGUUCUUAGUUCGUGGAGUGGUUUGUCUGGUCUAUUCCGAUAACGAGCGAGACCCCGGCGUUCCUAAUAGGGGCAGCAGCCCGGCUUGCUUUGGUCUCACGACUGGAGCUCGCUAGCACGCUGCCUUCACAUAGGCUUCUUAGACGUAUCAGAGCCGAUAAGGUUCUUGAAAUGGGUUAAUAACAGGUCAGUCAUGCCCUUAGAUGUUCUGGGCCGCACGCGCGUUACAAUGGCAUGCUUCAGAAAGUGCUCAUUCAAAAGGGCGUAUCCGCGGCCUUCCGGUCGCGGUAACCCCUAAUCCCUGCCUUGACUGGGAUAGACUAUUGCAAUUAUUGGUCUCUAACGAGGAAUUUUUAGUAGUCGCAGGUCAUCAACCUGCGACGAAUGAGUCCCUGCCCUUUGUACACACCGCCCGUCGCUGCUACCGAUUGGGUUUUGCGGUUACGAGUUCGGAGGCUGUGGCUUCCCCGUUUGCCUUCGGGUAGGCGGGAACCGUGGCCAAAGUUCUAAUUACCGCACGGCCUAGAGGAAGCAGAAGUCGUAACAAGGUAAUCGUAGGUGAACC
rnacentral:rRNA from 1 species